rnacentral:rRNA from 1 species
GACGAACUGUGCAAACGUUAUUCGGAAUCACUGGGCUUAAAGGGUGCGUAGGCGGCCAUGUAAGUAGGGUGUGAAAUCCCCCGGCUUAACCGGGGAACUGCGCCCUAAACUGUAUGGCUGGAGUGAGAUAGGGGUGUGUGGAACUUCCGGUGGAGCGGUGAAAUGUGUUGAUAUCGGAAGGAACGCCGGUGGCGAAAGCGACACACUGGGUCUCAACUGACGCUGAGGCACGAAAGCCAGGGGAGCGAACGGG